UCCUGCGCUCUGUUCAAAAUU
rnacentral:miRNA from 1 species